GCCGAUGUAGCUCAGCUGGUAGAGCAAGGCUUUCGUAAAGCUUAGGUCAGGAGUUCGAGUCUCCUCAUCGGCU
rnacentral:tRNA from 1 species